UAAAUCAACCGGAGUGCCUGUUCGUCCUUCUCUAUGUCUCAGCGUCCACCAAGAAAAGUCUGAAGGUUUUGUUUAUCGUCGGGACACGUGUUUGGAGCAACUGACCAGAAGCUACAUCCGGUAUUACAGGAGUUGGGGGCAUUCUCCCCCCACUUUUAAAAGCUUUUCACAUCUGUCGUGCUGUUUGUUGUAAAUCAGUAUUUAAUUUGAAUGAAUCUACUUGCUAUUGUUUUAGCUUAAUAGUUUGUGUUGGCAGUUUACAGUAUUAGAGUUUUUGAAUGUCAUUUUUAAUCUUGUGUUCCUCAAAUGUGGUUUUGAUGUAGCAUUUACUAUUAGACAUUUAGGUGAAGUUGGUUUUAUAUUCACAUUUUCACUGAGCACUUGGUAAUGGUAACAAUUGUUAAUCAUGCUACUUUGAAUAUCCGUGUGUGUGUGUCACAUCAGCACAAUUGAAUUAACCAAACAAUUCUGUACUAUUAAUCAUUGGCUGCUAAUAGGACUUCCCCAUUUAAAAUUAGCAAAGAAUACUUAAG